GCGUUGGUAGCGCAGUUGGUUAGCACGCGCCCCCGCAAAGUGUGAGCUGUGUGCGGGUUCGAUUCUCGCCUGGUGUC